CAGGACAAUAUCUUCAUGAGUAAAUAUAGUGAGGCAGAGGAAGAUUUGAUACACACAGAAGAGGAGAGAGCAAUGUGAAGAUGGUGGCAGAGAUGGGACUGAUGAAGCCACCAGAAGCUGGAAGACAUAAGGAUCCGAUUCUCCCCUGGAGCAUCUGGAAGAAGCAAGGUCCUGUCAACAUUGUGCUUUUAGUCAUUGAAAUGAAUAUUGAACAGAAUCCUGUCCCCUAGCACUAGUAGAGAAUAAAGUUAUGUUGUUUUAAGCCACCAAUUUAUGAUGAUUUCUUAUGGCAGCCACGGGAUACUAAUUUACCUUCUCAGAUGAU
rnacentral:lncRNA from 1 species